GGUUUUUGGAUUCACUCUAAUUGAGAAGAAAAAGAGCAUUGUGGUUUCAGUUGUAGCUGAAAUUGAUGGUAAAAGGUGAAAUAUUUUCAGGGGAAGUGAAACCCUAGAAAUCGAAUGGGAAAGGAAUCUCUGAGAGGGUUUUUUGUACGAUUGAACGGAAGAUUUGUGUUUUGUUUUUUCAGUGGAGAUUGGGUUUUCUGGUUGUAUGAAGGUUUGUUGUUCGUUUUUUUGAGCGUUUUGUUGAAUGAAGUUUUGUUUCUGUGUAGUGGUUACACAGAAAAAUGAGAAUUGAAGAGGGGUUUUUGGUGUAGUAUUUAUAUGAUUUAUUUAUGAACAAGCGCAAGUGUGUAGCGUGAUUCCACGCGAUGGAUGCUUUGUAUAUUUCAUUGAAAAAUAGUUUGAACUUUUAAAAAUUAAAAUUCAUAAGUUUUAAGAAAAAAAUAUUUACGUUUGAGUUUGAGUUAAUAAUAUGUAAUUUAGAAUAUAAAUAUGUUUUACUACAUUCUUACCCUUCGAUCUCGACCUCAAACUCCAAUUCCCACCACUAGAACCCCCAAUUUCUCUCUCUAAAUUCUUAUCACCUUCCACACUCUUCCCUACUACAUCCUCCCCUAACUUCUGCCGUUUCCUCUUGGGAGAAGGCGACACAUCAAGUAAAACCGGGGCACGCCGAACCCUCGAGCUUCGGCGAACCCCUGGUUCAGGGUUCAAACCAUCACCCUCAUUUAACUCACCAUGGUUUCUAUUAUACUCUUCCUCGCAUAUUGCAUCUAACUUCUUUUGUUUCUUCCGAACCCGCGAACCCGAUCCACCGUUGCCCUUUCCUUCCGGUGACAAUCGCAUGACAACAAAGCAAUACAAAUAUAUAUAAAAAUAAAAUAAAAUAUCACUAAGCAGUGCCAAAAAAAUAAAGGUGAAAAAAGGAAAACUUUUUUCGCUAUGUAGAAAACUAGAAAAUGGGUAUUUUCUGAUUGUCUUCUAUGUCUAAUUGGGUUUUUGGAUUCACUCUAAUUGAGAAGAAAAAGAGCAUUGUGGUUUCAGUUGUAGCUGAAAUUGAUGGUAAAAGGUGAAAUAUUUUCAGGGGAAGUGAAACCCUAGAAAUCGAAUGGGAAAGGAAUCUCUGAGAGGGUUUUUUGUACGAUUGAACGGAAGAUUUGUGUUUUGUUUUUUCAGUGGAGAUUGGGUUUUCUGGUUGUAUGAAGGUUUGUUGUUCGUUUUUUUGAGCGUUUUGUUGAAUGAAGUUUUGUUUCUG
rnacentral:lncRNA from 1 species